GUAGGUGGCAAGCGGUUGUCCGGGAAUUAUUGGGGCGUAAAGCGCGCGCAGGCGGUUCGUUUAAGUCUGAUGUGAAAGCCCACGGGCUCAACCGUGGAGGGUCAUUGGAAACUGGAGAACUUGAGUACAGAAGAGGAAAGCGGAAUUCCACGUGUAGCGGUGAAAUGCGUAGAGAUGUGGAGGAACACCAGUGGCGAAGGCGGCUUUCUGGUCUGUAACUGACGCUGAGGCGCGAAAGCGUGGGGAGCAAACAGGAUUAGAUACCCUGGUAGUCCACGCCGUAAACGAUGAGUGCUAAGUGUUAGGGGGUUUCCGCCCCUUAGUGCUGCAGCUAACGCAUUAAGCACUCCGCCUGGGGAGUACGGCCGCAAAGGCUG
rnacentral:rRNA from 1 species